GACGGCGAGAAAACCUUUGAAACUCAUUUGUAUUCGUGAUGACCCCUCCACCCGAGUCGCUGUCCUCUUCAGGGGUAUAUGAAGAGUUGGGUAUAGUUCAGUAACCCAGGAUUCUCCGCAGUGAGGGCUCCACGGGAGUAGCUGGUCCGGCGCUGGUCAUCCCUCUCUAGGUCCUUCCUCUCGGCUUUACGACCAUGUUUAUGUCUGCUACUGGAGCAAAUCGGCGAUAUCACCGUGUCCUCAAGUGCUACCAAAAGGGCUGCAUCAGUACCUACGAAUAGAGAUCUCCGGAUAUCCAAAAAUAUAAUGGUGAGAUUCGCCAAUUCGAUGCCCUCGCAACCGGAGAGAGUGAUCAAAACUUCAAAAAAAGAAAAUCUAGCCUGGUUUCUCUUAUGUAUUCCUUAUACACACCCUAUAUUAACAGUCAUCAUGCAUAUCCAAUCAUAACCCCUUCAUGCUUGUAGCCCACAUAACCCAAGAAACCCUA
rnacentral:sRNA from 1 species